rnacentral:rRNA from 1 species
CCUACGAGUGGCAGCAGUGAGGAAUAUUGGUCAAUGGGCGGAAGCCUGAACCAGCCAAGUAGCGUGCAGGAUGACGGCCCUACGGGUUGUAAACUGCUUUUAUACGGGACUAACGCGCCUUACGUGUAGGGCUUUGCAUGUACCGUAUGAAUAAGGACCGGCUAAUUCCGUGCCAGCAGCCGCGGUAAUACGGGAGGUCCGGGCGUUAUCCGGGUUGAUUGGGUGAAAAGGGAGCGUAGGCCGCAUGUCAAGCGUGCUGUGAAAUGUCCGGGCUCAACCCGGGCCUUGCAGCGCGAACUGGUGUGCUUGAGUCCGCGGAAAGCAGGCGGAAUGCGUCGUGUAGCGGUGAAAUGCUUAGAUAUGACGAAGAACCCCGAUUGCGAAGGCAGCUUGCUGCAGCGGAACUGACGCUGAUGCUCGAAAGCGCGGGUAUCGAACAGGAUUAGAUACCCCAGUAGUC